rnacentral:rRNA from 1 species
GAAACACGGACCAAGGAGUCUAGCAUGUGCGCGAGUCAUUGGGACCGCAAUAAACCUAAAGGCGCAAUGAAAGUAAAGGUCCGCCUCGCGCGGACCGAGGGAGGACGGGCCCGUUCACGGGCGGGCCCCGCACUCCCGGGGCGUCUCGUUCUCAUUGCGAGAAGAGGCGCACCCAGAGCGUACACGCUGGGACCCGAAAGAUGGUGACCUAUGCCCGGUCAGGACGAAGUCAGGGGAAACCCUGAUGGAGGUCCGUAGCGAUUCUGACGUGCAAAUCGAUCGUCGGAACUGGGUAUAGCGGCGAAAGACUCAUCGAACCAUCUAGUAGCUGG